rnacentral:rRNA from 1 species
AUGGCCACGGCUUCGUCGGAGCCGCUCCCCAGCGGCGAGGAGGGGGACGAGGAUGCGGGGGCGAGGAUCGAUGACGACCUUCGCGGCAUGUCGGACCAGGCGCUGAAGGAGAGGUUCAAACGCCUACAGGACGGGCUCAACAAAUUCCCCGGCGUCCUCCCGGACGGUGGGAAGAAGUACCGCCGCUCGCUCCGGGCCGUCCGCGGCGAGCUCGACCGCCGCACUCGCUUGGCCUCGGACUCGGCCUCUCUCCGGCCACGGCCGCGGCCGCCGCGUCCGCAAGGCCGCCUAGGCGAGCCGGAUGGCAAUAGAGGUGAACGGAUGAUCCAGUCAAGUUGUGCAGAACCGUCUGGGUUGUCUAGUAAAUGCAAUGAAAAUCAUGGAGUAACCAAAUCUGAUUUCCUUUCUGCAUUUGAGGUGGAUGAUGAGGCAGGCAUCGAUGUGGAGAUAACAAGUAUAUGCCCUGGCAAGACUAAAACGCCAGUAGAAAAUAAAGGGAAGUCGUAUGCAGUAAGUGAAUCUUGCAAAACCAAUGCACAACCAACGCCUCCCAAAGUAUUAUGUAUCGACAACUCAAUCGACGUGGAAAAUAUGUCUUCUGACGAUGACUUCAAGGAUAACGGCGAUAUUAGGACACGUGAAAAUGCUUCCACACCUUCUCGGAAAAGGAUAUUUCCAGUAUUCAUCAGUCAUGUCCCUAUGUAUUCCCCAGUUACUUCACCUGUUCCUACCUAUGCCAGGAAAGGAGAUGACUCAGUAAACUUCUCAAUGCGAUUGAGACCAAGAAAGGCUCAAGAGGUGGUUCUACUCGAUGCAGAUGCACACCAUUCAGAAUCUGCAGAGAAGCCAACCACUAAACGGGAUGCAAUGAAGAUAUAUUAUCCCUCAAGCGAACACUCAAAUUCUAUUGAGCUUUCUCAUGAUGACAUAAAAUGCCUUGAGCCUGAAUCGUUACUUUCCUCAACUAUAAUGAACUUCUACAUUAUGUACCUGCAAGGGCCAAUGUCAUCGAUUAGUACACAAAGAGGCAAGUAUCACAUUUUCAAUACAUACUUCUUCAAGAAACUUGAAGCCCUAAAAUCAAAGGUAGACAAGCCUUCUUAUUUCUUAAACCUGAGAAGAUGGUGGAAAGGCAUAGAUAUAUUUCAAAAGCCAUAUAUAUUAUUUCCUGUGCAUGCAGAUACUCAUUGGAGCCUGGUGAUUAUAUGCAUGCCAGCAAAGGAAGAUCAAUCAGGCCCCAUUAUACUUCAUUUGGAUUCACUGAAGUUCCAUAACAGCAGAUUGAUUUUCAGUGUUGUUGAGAGAUUCUUAAAACAAGAAUGGAAUUACCUGAAGGAAAAUGGGUCUUUAGCAGAAUGUCCUAUACGAGAAACGGUGUGGAAGAAACUUCCUCAUAAAAUUGAGAAGAAACCAAUUGCGGUUCCGCAGCAGGAAAAUGAAUUUGACUGUGGCCUCUUUGUUCUGUACUAUAUGCAGCGGUUCAUCGAGGAGGCACCUGAAAGGCUUCACAAGAAAGACCUUUCUAUGUUUGGCAAAACAUGGUUUCAACCUGAAGAGGCUUCUGCAUUGCGAAAGAAAAUGAAGACCCUGCUUCAUCAGUUGUUUGAGGAAGCGGAUCCCAGUAACGAUAGUACAUCGGAGCAGACAGCGUGUCAGUUGCUUUUGGAAGCUAAGCCUGCAAACAACGUGAUGGAGCUGGCAACGUCAGAACACCCUUUGGAAGUCAGUUCAGCUGAGAUUACAUCGCAGAAACCUUUGGAAGGCACUUCGACCCGACCAACUAGUUUUGAGCACCCUUUGGAAUGCAGCUGA